UACAGAGGGUGCAAGCGUUGUUCGGAAUUAUUGGGCGUAAAGGGCGCGUAGGCGGUGCGGUAAGUCUGUAGUGAAAUCUCUGGGCUCAACUCAGAGUCUGCUGCAGAAACUGCCGUGCUUGAGUGUGGGAGAGGUGAGUGGAAUUCCCGGUGUAGCGGUGAAAUGCGUAGAUAUCAGGAGGAACACCGAUGGCGAAGGCAGGUCUCUGGGCCACUACUGACGCUGAGAAGCGAAAGCAUGGGGGAGCGAACAGG
rnacentral:rRNA from 1 species